rnacentral:lncRNA from 1 species
CGCUCCCGCCGCGCGGCUCGGCCCCGCAGCCAAUCGGGAGCCCUGGCGCUGCCCUAAGGGGGCAGGAGACGCGCCGGGGCCGAAAGCUGGCGCGGUGAUUGGCUGAGAGAGGGCGGGGCGGGGCGUGGCCGGAGGAGGAGGAGGAUGAGGAGGAUGGAGGAAGACGAGGAGGAGGAGCGGGGCCGCCCGACUUCCUGACCGCGUGUCGGGCCGGGGGAUGCGGCGGCGGAGCUACGUGAGGCGAGCGGGGCCGCGCACACAGCGCCCCCCGCGGCGCGGAGGAGUCGCCGAGGUAGCGCCGCGAGGGCCGCGCUGGAGGUCCCGAGCGUUCCCGCUCUGGAAACACUUGGUUCUAAACGGACCAAAAGCUUCUGGAAAAAGGGAUUUACAGCAAGUUUUUCUUCUUCUGAUGAGGCACUGGACUGGCAUGGCUUUUACCGAGGCAGCAGGUCGCUGUAUGUACAAGGAAGAAGGUGCCUGCCCGUGAUUUGCUGUUAUUCCGUGGAGGAUUUCGCAUCAGUUCCCUGAUUGCGUGCUUGGAUGAUGGGGCCUCUGUGUAUGCAGAUGACCGUCGUAGUGUUAGUUUUCCUAUUAUUAUGCUGAACGAUCAAAAAAUUUUAAAUGUCAUUGAAAACCAUAGUAUAUUUAAAACAAAUAAAACAGAGUCUAGUAGCAUACUGCCCUUCAAAUGGAAUUGUACUCUCAAAUUGUGAACGCUUUCUUGCAUGCUGCUCCUCACUUUCUCGGUUUAAAUUCCCUUCUUGCAGCCUCACAGUCUGAGAUGCCACGGAGAAUUUGUGUUAUGUCACAGUUACUUAGUUGCAGGAUGUCAUCCCAGUUGUACCAUUUCUGCCUCCUGUUUCUGAAGCCUUUUCUCGACAAGCACAUGCAGUUUUACCAGGUGACAGGCACCUCCUGCUCUUUCUCUAUUCAGAGCAGUAGAUCUCCUUCCUGCUCAGUGGCUGCACUCCCAAGCAAUUCAGAGACUCUGCAACCUGUGUCACUUUUCUAAGGGGAGCAUCCUAGACAGACUUGGCUGAGAGCACUUCACCAGGGUUCAUAAUUGUAUUUUUGGUCAAUAGUAAUACUAGAAACAGGCAAGUAAAACCAGACAGGGUGUAGCCCAGUUCAUGUUCCAGCUGACUGAUACUAAAAAGGAAAAAAAACAAACCAAACAAAAAAAAAACAACAACCAAAAACACCCCAAAAAAGCCCCCUUUAACUUGUUUAUAUUUCUGUCCCAUUUAUAAGUCUGGCAGUAGUAGUUGCAGACACAGUUAGCCAGCUACCCUAAUCCUGCUAGGUCUGCCCCUGGCAUGCACAGGCACAUUCCAGGGUUAAUGCACAAAGACUGUUCUGUCACCAAAGUCUUCCAAAGUACAUUUACAGAAGAGACUGAAGGCUCAAUUGUGGCCCAGGUACUAGAUUUUACCUAAGUUGCUCUGGUGUUGACAGCAAUUUAUGUCAGACUGCAGCUGAAAACUGGAGCAGCAGCCCCCAGGGACUCCAGGAUUAAUAUUCACUCUGAGUGCUAGGCUGCACUGAUGUCUCCUUGCUGCCUCCAGCACCUGUACCAUGGCAUGUGCUACCUUACUUAGAGCUAUGUCUGCCCACACUGUAAUCACCUUCUCACACAUCUGUGUGGACCCGGCUCUGGCUUCUAAAACUGGCAAAGCCCCAUGGAAAGAGGAGGCAGCAGACUGAUGCACAUCUGCACCUCCAGCCCCCUUGGAUCCCUGGAAGAGGAGAUGUUUGUGUGAGCAUGAGUGUCCAGUAAAAGUUUUAUGCCCAGCGAGUAAAUGGUCUGGCAGAGUCUGGGGAGAC